UCUUUAACGUGGAGAUUAAGGAAUGGUUUAGAGAUAAAUCACAUAUUAGACCUAUUAUUUAAUUUUUUUUUUUUUUUUUUUAAAAAAAAGUUAUUAAGCUUUGCCUCCAUGGGAGGAUAGUGUAGGAUACCCUCCUUUUUUCUUGUCACCCACGGAAAGCAUAUUAGGGUUUAUUUAACAUGUGAGGUCCCGUCGGGGAGGAGAAAGAAACAUUUCUUUUAAGAGUGCUCUAAUAAAAUUGUGAGACUAAUUAUGGUAAUAUUGAAAAUAUUUGUUUCUAUUUUGGGUGGGCCUAGGCCCAAGUGGCGAUAAAGGACAAUCCAGUAUGGACAAGCAAGAUACUCUGAUGCUCCUACAAUUCAUUUGGGCUUAGUUUUGGUCGGCCCAAAAGUUCGAGAGUUCAGAGGAGUCAAAAUCGACCAGUGACAUGAUUGGGAUAAGCUUCAUCGUCGAGAGAAUAAUCCAGAUCACCUUCUAAGACUCAUAAAUGACGCUCGUAACUUGGGCUCAUCAUACUAUACUCAAGGAAAAACAAGCCGUUUACCUUUUAGUAGCUACCAAUUCACUGAGUUAAUUGUCCCCCUUUCUUGGUCGUAUUUAUCGGUAUAUAGUAAAAAAUAUUAAUACAAUUU